UGUAUGUCAAUGCUCUCUUUCCCCCUAUCAGGAAGUUUUAUCGCGAGGCUGGCUUCAUCGAGCAGGACGA
rnacentral:SRP_RNA from 11 species